rnacentral:rRNA from 1 species
UACGUAGGGGGCAAGCGUUAUCCGGAUUUACUGGGUGUAAAGGGAGCGUAGACGGCCAGACAAGUCUGAAGUGAAAAUCCAGCGCUUAACGUUGGAUGUGCUUUGGAAACUGCCGGGCUAGAGUGCAGGAGGGGCAGGCGGAAUUCCUAGUGUAGCGGUGAAAUGCGUAGAUAUUAGGAGGAACACCAGUGGCGAAGGCGGCCUGCUGGACUGCAACUGACGUUGAGGCUCGAAAGUGUGGGGAGCAAACAGG